GAGUUUGAUUAUGGCUCAGGACUAACGCUGGCGGCGUGCCUAACACAUGCAAGUCGGACGGGUCGGUUUUCGUAGCAAUAUGGAUGCCGGCUAGUGGCGCACGGGUGAGUAACGCAUAGAUGAUCUGCCUUGCAGACCGGGACAACUCAGGGAAACUUGAGCUAAUACCGGAUGAGACCACGUGAAGGGAUUCAUGGGGCCAAAGGGGGUAGCGAUAUCCCGCUGGAAGAUGAGUCUAUGUCCUAUCAGCUGGUUGGUGGGGUAACGGCCUACCAAGGCCAAGACGGGUAGCCGGCCUGAGAGGGUGAACGGCCACACUGGGACUGAGACACGGCCCAGACUCCUACGGGAGGCAGCAGUGAGGAAUUUUCCGCAAUGGGCGCAAGCCUGACGGAGCGACGCCGCGUGAGGGACGAAGGUUUUCGGACCGUAAACCUCUUUUAUUAAGGAAAAAUGCAAUUAUGCCAACCAUAUUUGCUGAUGNACUAUA
rnacentral:rRNA from 1 species